rnacentral:ncRNA from 2 species
GCGGCUGGAUCACCUCCUUAGAGUUUGAUCCUGGCUCAGUAUGCGGCUGGAUCACCUCNNNNNAGUUUGAUCCUGGCUCAGGACGAACGCUGGCGGCGUGCUUAACACAUGCAAGUCGAACGAUGAAGCCUUUCGGGGUGGAUUAGUGGCGAACGGGUGAGUAACACGUGGGCAAUCUGCCCUUCACUCUGGGACAAGCCCUGGAAACGGGGUCUAAUACCGGAUAACACUCUGUCCUGCAUGGGACGGGGUUAAAAGCUCCGGCGGUGAAGGAUGAGCCCGCGGCCUAUCAGCUUGUUGGUGGGGUAAUGGCCUACCAAGGCGACGACGGGUAGCCGGCCUGAGAGGGCGACCGGCCACACUGGGACUGAGACACGGCCCAGACUCCUACGGGAGGCAGCAGUGGGGAAUAUUGCACAAUGGGCGAAAGCCUGAUGCAGCGACGCCGCGUGAGGGAUGACGGCCUUCGGGUUGUAAACCUCUUUCAGCAGGGAAGAAGCGAAAGUGAC